UACGUAGGAGGCGAGCGUUGUCCGGAGUUACUGGGCGUAAAGGGUGCGCAGGCGGCUCCGCGCGUGUCUGGUGAAAUCUCCCGGCUCAACUGGGAGGGUGCGCCGGAAACUGGAGUGCUGGAGCGCGGGAGAGGAAAGCGGAAUUCCUGGUGUAGCGGUGAAAUGCGUAGAUAUCAGGAGGAACACCGGCGGUGUAGACGGCUUUCUGGACCGUAGCUGACGCUGAGACACGAAAGCGUGGGUAGCAAACAGG
rnacentral:rRNA from 1 species